ensembl:lncRNA
AUAACGAUCAGCAUGCCCCAAACAAUAGUGGUUUACUAUUGUCCAGUACUAUUGCACAAGUGGAUUUUCGAAGUAUGUAACCGUCUAUGCUUUUUGAGGAAAUAUUGCCCACAACCACUUGUGCAAUGAAAGAGGAGAGCUUUGUGACAAUUCUCCCGACUUUGAGAGUUUUCAAAAGGUCAGAAGAAGACACAGGAUGCCUAAUUACCUGGCCUACCACUAAAGGUUUCUUCUUUACAGGAAAAAAGGCACUAUCAAAGGAACAUUCAUUCUUGAAAGCUGGAAUUCUUGGAGCUUGUUGGGUCAAAGCAAUUGUGGGAGUGAAUACAGCACAGGCUCCAUUCACUGCUGUGGGCUUUAUCGGGAUGUGACAGCCAACGAUGGAUGGGACUGCAUGAAAGACAGUUGAGCAUGCCAGUCUGGCAAACCCUGUGCCCACCUACUCUACUUCCUCACACUCUGGGAGACAAACAACUUUUUUAACAGCCCUACUGACCAUGUGCACAAACGUGUGUAAUGUGGACCUAGGCAAGCAGCCAACACUUGAUAGGAUGCAGUAUGAACCAAGAAGUACAGGAACACAAGGACCUCCACCUCCUUGUACCACCCAUGCCGCGGUCACUUCCACUAUGGAUGCCUUAGUCAGUGGCAGGUCAGAACAGAGAUCAAUGUGUCCAUCAAAGCCUCAGGAUGGGUACAGUUGGGUUGAUGUGGCAGUGGGAGGUGGGGUUGCCAGGCUAGAAAACACAUAAAUAACAAGCUCCAGUCCAGUCAUGCAAGAGUUCUCUCUCUCCUUUUCCAUAUAAAAUAUUUAAUUUGAAUAUUUAAUACUAAGUAAAUACUGCUUUACACUAACUAAAUACUUCAGUCAAGAAUAUUAAUGAUCAGAUGAGAAUGUUUAAUUGUAUUCACUGUUUUAAUCUGCAAAACAUAGUGGAGUCCACACAACUUAAGGCAACGACACUUAAGCCAAGAACAGGCAAUGGCAACGUAAUAAAUGCAUACAGGGUUUAGAUUACUUACAGCAUUAUGGAGAGAAUCAUCAGUAGAGCCCUCCAGACCAUGGACCAGAAACUGACAGCUCUUCAACAAUGUGCAGCUUCAGUUUUUGCCAAAAUGGUAGGCAUUUGAUGUUUGACGAUUUAGCUCAAUGUUGGCUAGCUAAAUAUUCAAACUUGGCUGGGUUUUAAUAUGUAUCAAACUGAUCUAAUGUAUCUCCCAAUACUGGCUAAUUAAUUACUUAACAGUACAUACUUCAAGAUCACUGCAGUACGUAGUAUUCUGAAUGCAAAUGAAGGCAGGCCUAUGGGAGUUUGGUAUGUGUGUCACCAUUGAAACCACCAUUUUUACACCAGUAAAACAGCAUAGAUGACCAUUUAGAGAUGAAAUGUAUCAGUUUGUUUGAUCAGUGUUUGUGCGUCAUGUGCAUUCAUUGAAGAGUAAUGUUACUGAAAUAAAAGUGAAAUAUAUUUUGUAAUCUAAUCCAAUAUGUUUCCUGGAUGUAUUGCACCCAAUACUAAAAUGGCUGAACCACUUGUGGUUAUUCUCUUAAUACUGGCAGAAUGGUAUAAACAUUCCUACUCUAGAUGCAUGUAAUUUAUUUAUAAAGGAAUGCAUAUUGAGAACUGGUUCUACUUUACAAGUGUGCCCUGAUGAUACAUUGUAAUAAAUAAAUAAAAUAAAAAACAUUAAAAACAUUACAUUUAAAAUGAAACCACAAUAGUACAUAGCAAUAGAAUCCAGAUGAUAGUAAGUAUUAGAAAGACUGACAUGUCACAUAUGUAAUAAGUAAUUGGAUUAUAUUGGAUUAGUUUAUAAAAUGUAGGUCCCUCUGUUGGCCAAUGAGAUCAUAUUUUUGUAAAACAGGCUUAGACAUUGAGGCAGAGCUAUCAUAAUUAGCAAUAGACUUAGCACUUGACCAUGGUAAAGCCCUGCAUAUAUGUGCCUCUGUGUGACUGUAUGAAGAUUCAAACUUCAUAUGUUUCUAAUUUGGCCUAUUCAUGUUUUGUAACCUCAAAGAGAGUUAGUUCCUAUGACUGUUAUCAUAGUGCAAGGUUAUCCUGCUGGUGGUUCUGAAAUUAUGUCUUUGUGAGAAACUGUUAAGUAUUAUCAAAGAAAGUCAUUUUCUUGAUAAGACAAAGGUCGCAUUCUGUUUUUAUAUCACCAACAUUGAGGUUAUGGUUAAAUUCGUCAUCGGAAUGUAACCACAUAUGGUUUGUUGGCCUAUUUAAACUCUACAAUCAAGUUGCUGUAAUACGUGAAGUUAGAAUCCAUAAAUAUUUACUGCAAGGCAUAUUAUGAAACCAUGCAAUUUUUUCCCAUACCCUCUGACUUGUCUGCUUGAUUUCUACACUGUUACGUCUGCUCUUUACCAAUAACUGAACUUCCUGGAAUCUCACUGAAAGGCAACCUUAUAACUAGAAUAAGUUUCAAUCAGUUUUAGUUCUGGUUGCAGAUGAUAUGAAGUGUUGGAUGUCCCACUUAAGUCUGGUUUUGCAUUCAGAAUGACUGCCAGUGUUGGGAUGACUAACAUGGUCACACAGAAAGUUCAGUGUCUGAUGACUAAUCUAUAUGAUAAUACUGAGGCAGCUGUAAUGUCACAGGAGUAACCAACCUCAAGUUUCAGCAAGCCCCCUAUUCAUAUCAGCCCCUGUACACACAUACAGUAUGAUUGUUUUGCAUGCCAUGAUUGUAGGUUUGAUGAUAAUAUAACAAAAUUCCAAUGCAUUCUGCAAGGAGUGCUACAGUGCUAACAUAAAAAUACUCUGUCUCAAAGAAACAUAUAAAUCUUUACAAUAAAGUAUUCACUCAC